rnacentral:rRNA from 1 species
GAUGAACGCUGGCGGCGUGCCUAACACAUGCAAGUCGAGCGGGGGGAGUACUUCGGUACAAACCUAGCGGCGGACGGGUGAGUAACACGUUGGUAACCUGCCUCAAAGUGGGGGAUAGCCUUCCGAAAGGAAGAUUAAUACCGCAUAACCCAUGAUUUCCGCAAGGAAGUAAUGGUAAAGAUUUUUCUCUUUGAGAUGGACCAGCGACGGAUUAGCUAGUUGGUGAGGUAACGGGUCACCAAGGCCACGAUGCGUAGCCGACCUGAGAGGGUGAUCGGCCACAUUGGAACUGAGACACGGUACAGACUCCUAGGGGAGGCAGCAGUGGGGAAUAUUGCACAAUGGGCGAAAGCCUGAUGCAGCAACGCCGCGUGAGUGAUGAAGGCAUUCGGGUUGUAAAGCUCUGUCUUUUGGGACGAUAAUGACGGUACCAAAGGAGGAAGCCACGGCUAACUACGUGCCAGCCGCCGCGGUAAAAC